rnacentral:rRNA from 1 species
AUGCACGCUGGCGGCGUGCCUCAUCCAUGCAAGUCGAGCGAACAGACGAGGAGCUUGCUCCUCUGACGUUAGCGGCGGACGGGUGAGUAACACGUGGAUAACCUACCUAUAAGACUGGGAUAACUUCGGGAAACCGGAGCUAAUACCGGAUAAUAUAUUGAACCGCAUGGUUCAAUAGUGAAAGACGGUUUUGCUGUCACUUAUAGAUGGAUCCGCGCCGCAUUAGCUAGUUGGUAAGGUAACGGCUUACCAAGGCAACGAUGCGUAGCCGACCUGAGAGGGUGAUCGGCCACACUGGAACUAAGACACGGUCCAGACUCCUACGGGAGGCAGCAGUAGGGAAUCUUCCGCAAUGGGCGAAAGCCUGACGGAGCAACGCCGCGUGAGUGAUGAAGGUCUUCGGAUCGUAAAACUCUGUUAUUAGGGAAGAACAAAUGUGUAAGUAACUAUGCACGUCUUGACGGUACCUAAUCAGAAAGCCACGGCUAACUACGUG